rnacentral:rRNA from 2 species
AAUCUGGCUGGUUUACUAGUCCGAAUUGUAGUUUAUAGAAGCGUUUUCGGUGGCAGCCUGGGUAUAAAUCCUUUGGAAUAGGGUAUCAUAGAGGGUGAGAAUCCCGUCUUUGACUCAGUGCAUGCUACUAUGUGAUACGUUUUCAAAGAGUCGAGUUGUUUGGGAAUGCAGCUCAAAAUGGGUGGUAAAUUUCAUCUAAAGCUAAAUAUUGGCGAGAGACCGAUAGCGAACAAGUACCGUGAGGGAAAGAUGAAAAGAACUUUGAAAAGAGAGUUAAACAGUGCGUGAAAUUGUUGAAAGGGAAACGCUUGACACCAGUCAUGCGAGUGGAAAAUCAGUCUUUUGCAAUGGGGAGUUGUGGGCGUUCAGACCGCAAGGCUGGCGUUUGCUUCAUCUUUGUUGUAAGUGAUGCACUUUUUCAUUUGCAGGUCAACAUCAGUUUGCUUUGCUGGACAAAACCCCAAGGGAAGGUGGCAGCUUAGGCUGUGUUAUAGCCCUGGGGCGAUACAGUGGAGUGGACUGAGGUUUUCGCAGUGUGUGCUCUCUGGGCAAGGCUGACUGGGUGCUAUGGGAUCGUUCGGCGUACAAACGCAUGCAUUUUGCGUCGUGUCCUUUUCAUACUCGCUCAACUCGGCUCUUCCACACUUAG